rnacentral:rRNA from 1 species
UACGGGGGGGGCAAGCGUUGUUCGGAAUUACUGGGCGUAAAGGGCUCGUAGGCGGCCAACUAAGUCAGACGUGAAAUCCCUCGGCUUAACCGGGGAACUGCCUCUGAUACUGGAUGGCUUGAGAUUGGGAGAGGGAUGCGGAAUUCCAGGUGUAGCGGUGAAAUGCGUAGAUAUCAGGAGGAACACCGAUGGCGAAGGCAGAUCUCUGGGCCGUAACUGACGCUGAGGAGCGAAAGCAUGGGGAGCGAACAGG